GUUCCGUCCAGCAGGGGGCGAUGAGCCGAGCCGUAAGAACCACAAAGUUUCAGCUCAAACCAGAACAAGGAGGCCGAUGAUGCAGGGUCAGUUUCCUCAAUCUCAGAUUUAACCUGAGAUUCUUCUCUGUUGACCUGAGAAGCCAGGGAUGUCCAAAGUGUGGCCCAGGGGCCAUAUGGGGACGUCUGGAUGACUUUGUCUGGCCCUCCAGUUGAACUCAUCCCUUCAGCUCUGGCAGGUCGAACCAAAACAUCUGUGGGUCAAACUGAAAGAAGCAGCAGCAGCAGCCGUGACUCAGACGUCUUGGUUCUGGUUAAAUCUCCCCUCAGAUCCGGUUUCCUCCCGGGGAACCGAGUUCCUCAAAAGCUCCGAGUCCCACAGGAAGCAUCGCUGCCGCGCCGGCCUGUCCGGCAGGAACGCUGCAGGAUGCCCGCUCU